UACGUAGGGGGCAAGCGUUGUCCGGAAUCAUUGGGCGUAAAGAGCGUGUAGGCGGCCUGGUAAGUCCGCUGUGAAAGUCCAGGGCUCAACCCUGGAAUGCCGGUGGAAACUGUCAGGCUCGAGUCCGGAAGAGGCGAGUGGAAUUCCUGGUGUAGCGGUGAGAUGCGCAGAUAUCAGGAGGAACACCAAUGGCGAAGGCAGCACUCUGGGACGUGACUGACGCUGAGACGCGAAAGCGUGGGGAGCAAACAGG
rnacentral:rRNA from 1 species